rnacentral:rRNA from 1 species
GACGAACGCUGGCGGCGUGCUUAACACAUGCAAGUCGAACGGAAAGGCCUGCUUUCCCUUGUGGAUUGCGGGUACUCGAGUGGCGAACGGGUGAGUAACACGUGAGUGAUCUGCCCCCAACUUGGGUAUAAGCCUGGGAAACUGGGUCUAAUUCCCGAUAGGACUGCAGGGUGGUGCCUGUGGUGGAAAACGAUUUUCUAGUGGUUGGGGAUGAGCUCGCGGCCUAUCAGCUUGUUGGUGGGGUAAUGGCCUACCAAGGCGGCGACGGGUAGCCGGCCUGGGAGGGGGGACGGCCAAAGUGGGACUGAGAUACGGCCCAGACUCCUACGGGAGGCAGCAGUGGGGAAUAAUGCACAAUGGGCGGAAGCCUGAUGCAGCGACGCCGCGUGGGGGAUGACGGCCUUCGGGUUGUAAACUCCUUUCGACCGCGAGGAAGCCACCUGGUUGGAAGGGUGGUGACGGUAGUGGUAGAAGAAGCACCGGCUAACUACGUG